UACAUAUUACCCUCCCCAGACCUCACUUUGUGGGACUAUACUGGGUAGUUGUUGUUGUUUGUAACUUCGGUAUGUUUAUCUUAGCACCAUCUUUGUGUUGAGAACUUCUCUUUCUAUUAAUAAAACAUGUUACAUAUAAAUCUUCUUUUGUUCUGGUUAGCUUCUUUGCGUGUUUGAUUUUUUAAUUCUUUGCCUUGCC
rnacentral:lncRNA from 1 species